UUAUCUCAUAUCAAGCGUGCAAGAAAAAGAACUAUUAGUGUAAAUGAGCAUGAAGCUGUUUGGAGGCCAGGGUCAGAAAGAGUGCGGACAAGAGAACAGAAGAAGGAACACACCAAGAUUAAGACAGCAAACAAACAGGAAUAACAAGGCCAAAAAGAUGAAGAACUGACUGGAGACUUCAAAAUUUUGCACAUGAGCCUUUUCAGCUCCCCCUGGUUUUGGGGGAAGGUGACUAUUUACUACUGUGCCCUGCUGAACCGUGAUGUUAGGAUGGAGUUCCUGUUGUCACCAAAGAGUUGUGGGCAGAACAGAGAAGGUCAAGCCAUCCUGCUCUAUGAAAAGCUCUGGGAGUAGCCACCACACGUCACAUGGUGGCCAGAUUUGAGUCAAAGUCAGCUCGCAGCCAGCAAACAAGAGCGAAGAACUGGGGCACAGGUCGAAUCAAACCUAAGCAAACCCAGCAUUCAGCAAUGUAAGUAAAAUCCUGGAGCUCAAUGGAAUUCAUUCAUCAUCUUCUGGGCUCAAAAGGACUUGGGAAGCUCCACGUCUCCUGCUCUGUCAUUGGAAGCACAAAUAGCUUGUCUCAUAGGCUCAGGCUAGUGUGACAUAUGCCAUAUUUUUGGGAUUCUGGGUGGUGACAUGAGCUGCAUCUGCACCUGCCAAGCGAUCAAGAGGAGGAACAGUCGCAAAGCCUUGCUGUGUG